UAAUCCAAUGCAAUAUAUUAGUUGCACUAAUUUCACGACUACAGCUGAAAAAUGCAUAGUAGCUUCAAAAUUUGAUAUAUUCCUCAAAAACAAUUGUAGAUUACACAUUGAUAAUUGCAGGUUUUAAACUACGCAUACAUCUUGACAAUACAUCACAAGUUGACUACCACCCAGGGACACGGAUAAAUCUGAAUAACCGAGUUACCGUAACUACGUUGGCUGGAAUUAAGAUUGAGACCUAAGAGCCUUAACUGGAAACGGCACAACCCUUCCCGGGAGAAAAGCGUCCCGUCAUCGGUAGGAGGUAGCCGACCCCCACCAUUUGUGUAUCCACGUGGGUGGCGAGAACCAACCACCAUGCUGGAAGCGUCUCAUCUUCAUAUCUCAAGUGCCCUCUGGCUGAACCACUUGCAUACUGUGCGAUACCCCAACCUAGCCAGACGCCAUGCGGGAAACUUGAUGGGACCGCCUAAGAGCACAAAGGAAUAAACUACACUUGAGGACAUUGGACACUGGCAAACAAUUAAAAAUCCUUUAGAGAAAAACGCAUAUUGGUGCAGAAAAAGAAUAGAGAAAAAGCAUUAAACUUUACAUUGCAUAUUAAGUUGUAAAACAUUCAAAAUGCAUAAAAAACGUAAAAUAAGUGUUUAACUUUUUACAUUAGGAGAGUUUGCAUGAUUUGCAUUUUAACAAAACCUAUUUUAGGCCUAUUUUCUGGAGUUCUCCCAAUUCUUCUCGAUAGUUUAGUUUUCCAUGAAUACGUAAUAUAUUUCGUGAUGGGCAGCAUUAACUUUUUUAUGGUUAUGAUCUAAAUUAUUCUUUUGGAUUACUCUUCAGAUAUUUUGUUUCUUAUAAUAUCAUAUUAGUUUCAUAAUGGUUUUAAUUUAAUUUGCUCAACUCAUGAAAAGGACUAAGGUGGUAGGGAAAGAAUCAUCCAAAUUCGAUUGUGGGUAAGGUCUGGGGGUAAGGUCUCGACUCUUGAGCCAUAGGAUUUCAGGUUCGAGACCCGAUUCCACCGAAGAACCGUUGUGUAAGGGGGUCUGUUGCACGUUAAAUUCGUCAAGGCUAAACGUCCUCCCGCUGGUGUGCCGUGCCGUGGUGUGCAGGGGGGGGGUGCCAGCUCAGGUGUCGUCCUCGUCAUCUGACCGCGGUUCAA